rnacentral:rRNA from 2 species
UGGGGAAUAUUGCACAAUGGGGGAAACCCUGAUGCAGCGACGCCGCGUGAACGAAGAAGGUAUUCGUAUCGUAAAGUUCUGUCCUAUGGGAAGAUAAUGACAGUACCAUAGAAGAAAGCUCCGGCUAAAUACGUGCCAGCAGCCGCGGUAAUACGUAUGGAGCGAGCGUUGUCCGGAAUUAUUGGGCGUAAAGGGUACGCAGGCGGUUUAAUAAGUCGAAUGUUAAAGAUCGGGGCUCAACCCCGUAAAGCAUUGGAAACUGAUAAACUUGAGUAGUGGAGAGGAAAGUGGAAUUCCUAGUGUAGUGGUGAAAUACGUAGAUAUUAGGAGGAAUACCAGUAGCGAAGGCGACUUUCUGGACACAAACUAACGCUGAGGUACGAAAGCGUGGGGAGCAAACAGG